rnacentral:lncRNA from 1 species
ACUGUCAGGAUGAGCAAGAUUGAAAGGUUGUUGUUUAGAACCUUUGCCAUUUUGGUGCUGAACGCGUUAUCUGCUAAGCUUCAAAAUAUAAGUAUUUUUAGAACUAUUUUAUUUAACAUUUAACUUAAAAGAUUUUAAGCAGUAUAUUCAGAAAAAAGAAGAAUGGUAUACCUAUCAUCCAUAAUUGGCUAAUUAUUAUUCCUGUAGUUUUUCUAUUUAAUGGUAACUUCUGUUUUUUAUGCUUAUAGCCAUAUCCAGAAGACCCAGCAGUUUAUAAACCACUCUCCCAGGAAGAACUGCAAAGGAUAAAGAAUGAGAAAAAACAGAAACAGAAUGAGAGAAAACAAAAAAUAUCAGAAAACCGCAAACAUUUGGCUAGUGUACGUGUUGUACAAAAAAACCUCGUCUUUGUUGUAGGUCUGUCUCAGCGACUGGCAGACCCAGAGGUUUUAAAACGACCAGAAUAUUUUGGGAAGUUUGGUAAAAUACAUAAAGUUGUCAUCAAUAAUAGCACAUCAUAUGCAGGCUCACAGGUAACUAAUUAUAGAGAUUUUUGCCUUUUCUCCCUAUGGUCUGGGCUCGACCUGGGCUGUUCAGAAGGAAAAUUUGCUUUCUGUAAUUAGGAAGCUGGGAGUAAAGAACUUGAGCAAUGACCUCUGUUGGUUGGGUGGGGGAAUUAUUGGUCCUUAUUUGAUGUUUCUAGGACUUAACAAUGAAUUAAUAGUAAUAAAAGGGAAAUAGUAAAACAGGUUUAGUAAUGGAAUAGAUGGAUGGGAGAGUUGAGUCUAUUAUCAGGUAAUCUGUUAGAUAAUUCCUACACUUGAUCUUAGCCAAAAGGCCGAGAAGCGAUUCUGUUAGAUAAUUCCUAAUCAGUAAUAUUUUUAGAUGUUGAACUGUUAAUACAACAGCUUUGUGAUAUUAAUAUUAAAAAAUUGAAUACUUACAUAUUGCACUUAUUUUUGACAGAAUAUAAUUUAACAAAUUGUCUUUACAUCUUUUUAAUCUAAAUUUCAAAUUUUUUAUAACCUCAAAGAACCUGUCAAAUGACUUCUUAAUAAAAUAAUUGCCAAGCCAAAGAUGAUAUUUUAUUCAUCUGUUAUAGUCUAUUUAGAAUGAGA